rnacentral:ribozyme from 13 species
UUUUUUUUUUUUUUUUUUUUUUUUUUUUUUUUUUUUUUUCCUUAC